rnacentral:rRNA from 1 species
AGUGAACGCUGGCGGUAGGCCUAACACAUGCAAGUCGAACGGCAGCACAGUAAGAGCUUGCUCUUACGGGUGGCGAGUGGCGGACGGGUGAGGAAUACAUCGGAAUCUACUUUUUCGGGGGGGAUAACGUAGGGAAACUUACGCUAAUACCGCAUACGACCUACGGGUGAAAGCAGGGGAUCUUCGGACCUUGCGCGAUUGAAUGAGCCGAUGUCGGAUUAGCUAGUUGGGGGGGUAAAGGCCCACCAAGGCAACGAUCCGUAGCUGGUCUGAGAGGAUGAUCAGCCACACUGGAACUGAGACACGGUCCAGACUCCUACGGGAGGCAGCAGUGGGGAAUAUUGGACAAUGGGCGCAAGCCUGAUCCAGCCAUACCGCGUGGGUGAAGAAGGCCUUCGGGUUGUAAAGCCCUUUUGUUGGGAAAGAAAAGCAGCAGGUUAAUACCCCGCUGUUCUGACGGUACCCAAAGAAUAAGCACCGGCUAACUUCGUG